GCAAGGCUGAAGAUGCUUGGGCUAAGAGUAUUGCUGGCCAUGCUACUGGAAAGGUUAUUGUGGAGCCCUAGAUAAAUAUAUUGUUCUUAAAUUGUUAAAAGGUUACUACUAUACAGGUUGCGUAUGUGGGCCAAACAUGGAUUGUACAUUAGAGUAAGCAUGCUUCUGACGCUAUAUGUUUGUGUCUUGCUUUGUAUUUAUAUCUUCACGCUUUUGUGAACGGUUGAGAUUGGUUUAUCUAGGGCUCCACAAUAACCUUUCC
rnacentral:misc_RNA from 1 species